UACGUAGGGUGCAAGCGUUGUCCGGAAUUAUUGGGCGUAAAGAGCUCGUAGGCGGUUUGUCGCGUCUGCUGUGAAAACCCGAGGCUCAACCCCGGGCCUGCAGUGGGUACGGGCAGACUAGAGUGCGGUAGGGGAGAUUGGAAUUCCUGGUGUAGCGGUGGAAUGCGCAGAUAUCAGGAGGAACACCGGUGGCGAAGGCGGGUCUCUGGGCCGGAACUGACGCUGAGGAGCGAAAGCAUGGGGAGCGAACAGG
rnacentral:rRNA from 1 species